rnacentral:rRNA from 11 species
GCAAAACUUAGUUCUUCCCACAGUCCAAGGCCCCAUCUGCACCAGAUCUUGGAAGCUAAGCAGGGUUAGAUCUGAUUGGUACUUAGAUGGGGAACCACAAAGAAUACCAGGUGUUGCA